GACGUAGGGGGCGAGCGUUGUCCGGAGUUACUGGGCGUAAAGGGCAUGCAGGCGGUCGGACGCGUUUUGUGUGACAGCGGGUGGCUCAACUACGCGAGCAUACGAAAGACGGUUUGACUUGAGGGCUCGAGAGGGACACGGAAUUCCGGGUGGAGUGGUGAAAUGCGUAGAGAUCCGGAGGAACACCGAAGGCGAAGGCAGUGUCCUGGCGAGUGACUGACGCUGAGGUGCGAAAGCCAGGGGAGCGAACGGG
rnacentral:rRNA from 1 species